GGGAGACAGGACAGUGGCUGGGAUGGCUUUGAAAAUCUGCAAAGACAGCACUUUUUAACAUUUCUUUCUUUACACGUAAUGGAAGGCAUCAUAUAUAGCUAUAACCAUUAAAGAAUAUUCACAACAUAUUCAAGUGCAAUAUAAGACAUCUCACCUUAAUUUGACUUGCUGUCACAUACAUGCAGUAGCUUGAUAAUCAUAGCUGGGCACGAUAACAGAAAACCUUAUUCCCGAUAACCGAUAACUGAUAAUGAAAAACCUUAACGGCGAUAACCGAUAUUCGUUAACUAGAGACACAAAUAUAGGCGAUAACCGAUAACCGAUACCCGAUGUAAAUCCACAAUUCCGAUACUAGCUAGCGAUAAGUCCGAUAGGCGAAAACGAUACUAUAUUGAUAUUUCAGAUAGAACAACAUUGAUGAAUUCAAAUUUUCAUUAUCUGUAUUUUAGGAAACUUACAAAACCUUAAAACCACACGUUGACACGUACAUAUGGACGGUAAUACUAGAAAUGCCAGGGGCGGUAUACACAAACGUUCUUAGCAUCGCUAAGUGCACUUAACGGCAAAGAAUCGUUAAGUUUUCUACUUAAAAUGGCGCCGGGCCGCUUAGCGCUGGAGCUGGAGCACUUAGCGGGCGGAAAAUUUAAGGCGGGGAAGGGGCUCCCUUAGCACCGUUAAAAAUGUAUAAGUAUUGCAAAAUGGCGGAUUACAGCGGGAGGGAAGGCAUCACCUCCUAAUAUAUCUGCCUCGUCUAGAUGAAUUGGAGGCGUUUAAGGAUUUGAAACUCAUCCUGAAAUAUCUGUGGACUGUGCUGACCGUGCUGAGAUGAGUGGUUCGGCGAGGCGGACCUUGGAAACACCUACAUGGCCAUCACGACUGAAGUGGUGUUCACCGACAGGUAAAAUGCAGGUGCAACCUUCACAGGCUGACAGAGAUUGAGUGAUAACAGACACUGGAGACCCUCCAGGCGAUGGCUGGUGACCGCCUGCCACCAUCCACAGGCUGUCACACAAGGAGCCCUGGGAGUAACCUUGCUGGAAGCCCCGCGGGCCGCAGUGUGUGGCUGGCGUUAUACAGCCCCCAGCCAUCGCCUGGAGACAUCCAGUGUCUGUUAUCACUCACCUUAGGUAGUCUGUGAAGGUCCAGUCAUCACUGGUGCACGUGUAUCUUACCUGUGAUCAACACCGGCAGCCACAGACUCCUGCCCAAGGAACGAACACAGUGAUCGUGAUGACAUUGACAACAAUGAGCAAGUCCUCCUAGACCUACAGUGACCUCAAGCUGGGCCAAACAUGAUGUGGAAGAAGAAAUCAUUUGUCUCCCAUCAGUCGGGUUUGUGCCAUGGCAGCUUUCUCCAGCUGUCCGGCAGAGGUCCAGUCCAUGCCAUAGAGAAAUUCAGCCCCCAACAAGGAGAUGGCAUGCCAGAGAUGGAUCCGCAGCUUCUCCUCCAAUCAGUCAAUCCUUGCAAUCCCUUUUCUCUUUCUCCUUCUGUACCACCAUGCUUACACAUAAUUGAUCCAAGGUACUUAAACUCGUUAACCUCCUCCAUUUCUUCACCAUUCAAAAUUAUUUGGCAUUCUUUUUCACAUUCAAUGGGCACUCUAUAUGGGCAUACAAAAUCUACAACCUCCCUUCUACUCUGCUCACUCGCUCUGCUCACAAACCAUCACUUUACUUUUGUUGACAUUUAUUUUCAACUUUCUCCUUUUACAUACACUAUCAAACACUGACCAAAUUUUGUAAGUCACUUUCAUUUUCUGCAAUGAGCACCGUGUCAUCAGCAAAUAAGAUUGAAUUCAUCACCCACUUCCUUCCCUCAGCAUACAUUUUUACUUCAAUUUCCCCAACUUUGCUCUUCAUUUUUCAUAACACUAUCCAUAUAAAUAUUGAACAACCAUGGUGACAUGACACACCCCUGCCUUAAGCCCACUUUCAUCUCAAAAUGUUCACUUGUUUCUCCAGUAAUUUUGACAUAUGCAGAUGCAUCCUCAUAGAAAGACUUUAUUGCAUUAAGCAGUUUUCCUCCCACACCAUAUACCUUUAAGAUGUCCCAUGUACAAUGCCAGCCAAUCGACUCUGUCAUAAACUUUCUCUAGAAUACCUAGAUCCAUGAAGGCAGCAUAGUAUUUUUUCCUUUUGCUAAUAUUUUUUCUACUACCAACUUGAACGAAAAA